GGGAAUUAGACUAGCAGGUGACGUGAUUCCCGAUCCCUUCGCUCGAUUCCUCUCCUCACGUGGUGUACCCGAUCAGAGUUUGGACAUUAACAGUUUGAGGGUUGAUUUUAGGUGUUUCGCAGUGACAAAAUUGGCAGGUUGUGCAACUGAGAUAUCUGAAAAAUGAUUCAGCAACAAUGCUCUAGAGUUGCCAAACAAGUGUGGAAGCCACUGCCCUCUUUUAUGCACAAGAGAGGGAUUCAUAGUCGUAACAAAAAGGCAAUGGAACUAGUGGCAAAAGGGUGGAGUGCUCUAUAGGAAGUAGAUAGGGUUAUCGACUAUGCCGAUCGGAAUGACACUCGCCUCAUCCCGCAACUCAGAGGUGCAAAGGAGAACUUUGAAUUGGCUCUUGAGAUUGACAACAUGAAUACUCAUGCACGAUACUGGUUGGCCAGGAUGCACUUUAAGUACCAUGUUCCUGGGGCUUGUAAAGCAAUGUGAG